rnacentral:rRNA from 1 species
AUUGAACGCUGGCGGCAUGCCUUACACAUGCAAGUCGAACGGUAACGCGGGGCAACCUGGCGACGAGUGGCGAACGGGUGAGUAAUGUAUCGGAACGUGCCCAGAUGUGGGGGAUAACUGCUCGAAAGAGCAGCUAAUACCGCAUACGACCUGAGGGUGAAAGCGGGGGAUCGCAAGACCUCGCGCAAUUGGAGCGGCCGAUAUCAGAUUAGGUAGUUGGUGGGGUAAGGGCCCACCAAGGCAACGAUCUGUAGCUGGUCUGAGAGGACGACAAGCAACACUGGGACUGAGACACGGCCCAGAGUCCUACGGAAGGCAGCAGUGGGGAAUUUUGGACAAUGGACAGAAGUCUGAACCAGCCAUGCCGCGUGCGGGAAGAAGGCCUUCGGGUUGUAAACCGCUUUUGUCAGGGAAGAAACGCUCUGGGUUAAUACCUCGGGGUAAUGACGGUACCUGAAGAAUAAGCACCGGCUAACUACGUGCCAGCAGCCGCCGUAACAC